rnacentral:rRNA from 1 species
GACGAACGCUGGCGGCGUGCCUAAUACAUGCCAGUAGAACGCUGAAGGAGGAGCUUGCUUCUCUGGAUGAGUUGCGAACGGGUGAGUAACGCGUAGGUAACCUGCCUGGUAGCGGGGGAUAACUAUUGGAAACGAUAGCUAAUACCGCAUAAUAGUAGAUGUUGCAUGACAUUUGCUUAAAAGGUGCAAUUGCAUCACUACCAGAUGGACCUGCGUUGUAUUAGCUAGUUGGUGGGGUAACGGCUCACCAAGGCGACGAUACAUAGCCGACCUGAGAGGGUGAUCGGCCACACUGGGACUGAGACACGGCCCAGACUCCUACGGGAGGCAGCAGGAGGGAAUCUUCGACAAUGGACGGAAGUCUGAACGAGCAACGCCGCGUGAGUGAAGAAGGGUUUCGGAUCGUAAAGCUCUGUUGUAAGAGAAGAACGAGUGUGAGAGUGGAAAGUUCACACUGUGACGGUAUCUUACCAGAAAGGGACGGCUAACUACGUG